rnacentral:rRNA from 1 species
AACACUCCCAUUAAUCCCAUAAACAAAUUUUGGAAUAGUAUUACCAAUUUCUCUUUUAUCAUGAUAAUCUAAUUUUCCAUCAUUAUUAAAAUCCUUAUAUCUUAAAUCUCCAGCUACUGGAAUAUAUCCAUUAUUUUUCAUAUGUUUAGCUGCUUCUUCAUCAGUUUGAUAAACACCUUGCUCCCCCGCCAUCUUGAAUAUAACCAUAUAGGGUCUUAUACGAAUACCCUUCUCGUAUUAAAUAUAGCUGAUCAGGUGAUUUCCCUCCUCUAAAUUUAUCAACUCUAUUUUUUACAUACGUUAAAUUAGCCCCUAAAUUGUAAGAUAGUUUUGAUUGUUGAAUUCUAUCAUUCCAAUUUAUAUUUAUUUCAACCCCCUUAUUGCUCAUUUUUCCCACAUUUUCAAAUGGCGGAUUUAAACCUCCCAUUGUUAGAGGAAUUGGCGGGGGAGCA